CCAAACUGGGAUUAGAUACCCCACUAUGCUCAGCCCUAAACAUAAAUAAUUCUCACAACAAAAUUAUUUGCCAGAGAACUACUAGCAAUAGCUUAAAACUCAAAGGACUUGGCGGUGCUUUACAUCCCUCUAGAGGAGCCUGUUCUAUAAUCGAUAAACCCCGAUAAACCUCACCACUUCUAGCUAAAUCAGUCUAUAUACCGCCAUCUUCAGCAAACCCUUAAAAGGAAGAAAAGUAAGCACAAUAAUAAUACAUAAAAAAGUUAGGUCAAGGUGUAACCCAUGAAGUGGGAAGAAAUGGGCUACAUUUUCUAAUCAAGAACACACUCACGAAAGUUUUUAUGAAAAUUAAAAACUAAAGGCGGAUUUAGUAGUAAAUUAAGAAUAGAGAGCUUAAUUGAAUAGGGCCAUGAAGCACGCACACACCGCCCGUCACCCUCC
rnacentral:rRNA from 1 species